AGAGUUUGAUCCCGGCUCAGGAUGAACGCUAGCGGCAGGCUUAACACAUGCAAGUCGAGGGGCAUCGGGAGGGAAGCUUGCUUUCCUUGCCGGCGACCGGCGCACGGGUGAGUAACACGUAUGCAACCUGCCCUCUUCAGGGGGACAACCUUCCGAAAGGGAGGCUAAUCCCGCGUAUAUCGGUUUCGGGCAUCCGGGAUCGAGGAAAGAUUCAUCGGAAGAGGAUGGGCAUGCGGCGCAUUAGCUGGACGGCGGGGUAACGGCCCACCGUGGCGACGAUGCGUAGGGGUUCUGAGAGGAAGGUCCCCCACACUGGUACUGAGACACGGACCAGACUCCUACGGGAGGCAGCAGUGAGGAAUAUUGGUCAAUGGGAGAGAUCCUGAACCAGCCAAGCCGCGUGAGGGAAGACGGCCCUAUGGGUUGUAAACCUCUUUUGUCGGAGAACAAAACCCGGGACGUGUCCCGGACUGCGUGUAUCCGAAGAAAAAGCAUCGGCUAACUCCGUGCCAGCAGCCGCGGUAAUACGGAGGAUGCGAGCGUUAUCCGGAUUUAUUGGGUUUAAAGGGUGCGUAGGCGGUCCGUUAAGUCAGCGGUAAAAUUGCGGGGCUCAACCCCGUCGAGCCGUUGAAACUGGCAGACUUGAGUUGGCGAGAAGUACGCGGAAUGCGCGGUGUAGCGGUGAAAUGCAUAGAUAUCGCGCAGAACUCCGAUUGCGAAGGCAGCGUACCGGCGCCAGACUGACGCUGAGGCACGAAAGCGUGGGGAUCGAACAGGAUUAGAUACCCUGGUAGUCCACGCAGUAAACGAUGAAUGCUGGUUGUCCGGGUCGAAUGAGAUCUGGGCGGCGAAGCGAAAGCGAUAAGCAUUCCACCUGGGGAGUACGCCGGCAACGGUGAAACUCAAAGGAAUUGACGGGGGCCCGCACAAGCGGAGGAACAUGUGGUUUAAUUCGAUGAUACGCGAGGAACCUUACCCGGGCUCAAACGGGAGUGGAAUGGACCAGAGACGGUUCAGCCUACGGGCCGCUUCCGAGGUGCUGCAUGGUUGUCGUCAGCUCGUGCCGUGAGGUGUCGGCUUAAGUGCCAUAACGAGCGCAACCCCCGCCGGCAGUUGCUAACGGGCAAUGCCGAGGACUCUGCCGGGACUGCCGCCGCAAGGCGAGAGGAAGGCGGGGAUGACGUCAAAUCAGCACGGCCCUUACGUCCGGGGCGACACACGUGUUACAAUGGGCGGUACAGCGGGAAGCCAGGCGGCGACGCCGAGCGGAACCCGAAAGCCGUUCUCAGUUCGGAUCGGAGUCUGCAACCCGACUCCGUGAAGCUGGAUUCGCUAGUAAUCGCGCAUCAGCCAUGGCGCGGUGAAUACGUUCCCGGGCCUUGUACACACCGCCCGUCAAG
rnacentral:rRNA from 1 species